AACUAGUAAAUAAAACGUCCUUUAUGUACGUUAAAAAUCCAUCGUGGAAUGCGAGAGUUCGACGAGACCUCUUAUCACACUUUCUAAUCUCAACGUAUGAAGGUCGCGGGAACGCUACUGAUACCAAAACAUUAUAUCGACUUAAUUAGAAGUGUACAGUGUACUGUCUAAUCAAUCAAGUUGUGUCCUCCGUACUAGCAACAUCGUACCGGUAAUAGGCAAGAAGAACAAGAGGAGGAAGAAGAAGAAGAGGAGAAAUAGUACGAAGCUUCUCUUAAACAUUAAAACUAUUUUAUUACCUACAUCAUUGAUGACCUAUGCUCUUUGCCAUCACGUACUCGUAAUGUUCUACUGUCAUUGGACGAUCGAGUGACCCGCGAUAGCGGUUGUCAACGUCGACGCAUUCUUCCUUUCAACCAUUUUUAUGAAAACGAUCCAAGGUUCUUUUAUGUAUAUAUUAUCCACAUACAUAUACACACGUACGUAUUUCUAUCUUAAACAUUGAAUAUCGAACGGAUUGUCAUGGAUUUUAACGACGUUUUGUUUAACGUUCCCCUUCGAAAAGACAGGAGAAUAAAUUUCAUGCGAAUAAUAGAAACGUUCAGUUCGUGUUAUUGUAAAGACCGCCAUUUAUAGACGAUUUAGCAACUUUGAAGGGCAUUCGAAUCAACCACGUGUACGAGAGUUUAUUUACGAAAGCAAGCUUUAGGUCAGAGAGAGAAAGAGAAAGAAGAUACAAUAGAGUCAUUAUAUACGUUACCCAGUGUGCGUUUCUCUCUCUUUCUGCCGAAAGCGUGCGAGAUUCGCGAGCUAACUGACCGGCAAAAGGGUGGAAGAUGUCCGACGAUUAACCGAAUGAAGACCGAGACUGUGCCCGUGUACUCGACAAAAACUUUCGUAGUAAUAAAGUCGAAUAAGAGGAUUUCGACGUUAUUCUCAUAAUGGACCAUUUAUUGAUUUAACUAAUCAAAAUUUAGGGAUGAAGGAUUAUUCUUUUUUUUUUUUUACGACAAACGAAAGAUCACAAUGAAGACGACGUUGAAUAUUUAACGAUGGAACAGGAAACUUAUCUUUUCGAACAUAACAAUAAGCCAUCCUUCGUUAUACUUCAUGUCUCUCAUUACACUAAUCGUAUUAAAGUCCAUUAUGUAUGUGCGUGUGUGUGUGUGUAUGCGCGCAUACGAUUAUAACAGAUGGUUUGAAUAAACAAGCAUUGAUUUUUCCUUUA